GCAACGUUACCUUUAAUCUCACUAUAUAAAGCAUGCCUGACCAAACCAUAGCCUUCAAGAAACAGUAUACAGUAGAAGCCGCUCUUCGUUCCAAUCAUUCAGCCAUCGGAGAUCGAUUUUCGAGGAGGAAAUGAAUGCAAGCACCAAGUUCUUUGCUAUCAUUCUUGUAUUUGCCGUGGUUGCCCAUGGUUUGGUGAGUCCUGGCAUGGGAAUGAUCGAGAAUAAGGGUGCAGGAGAGACUAAAGGCGUGAAGCCCACCCUUGGUGUUGGUGGUGGAACCACCGUGGACAACCACCAUGCUAUCCCUCGAGAUCAGUACAGCAGUCAUGGGGAAGGAGACGACGGAGGUAGUGGUGGUGAUACAAACAACUAGUUCGCAGUUCAUGUUCUCUCUGGUGUCAGCUUCGACUUAUAGAAGUGGCUGACUUUGUGGGAGAGAAAGGUUAUAUUUGUGUUAAGAAGGUACUACUUCUCAUGUGAUACCAUGAACAUGUAGCAGCAACCAUAAUCCUUAACAUGAGAAUGUUAUAUGUGUACAAUAUGCAGGCGUUGGUGUGUAGAAUCUCCAAGUAAUAUGUCUGUACGAAUUAUUGUGAUGUCUAAAUGAUGUUCAUCAAAAACCUAAAUGAAAUAUUGUGGUCUCCAA